rnacentral:rRNA from 1 species
UACGUAGGGGGCAAGCGUUGUCCGGAAUUAUUGGGCGUAAAGCGCGCGCAGGCGGUUAUUUAAGUCUGGUGUUUAAUCCUGGGGCUCAACUCCGGGUCGCACUGGAAACUUGGGUAACUUGAGUGCAGAAGAGGAGAGUGGGAAUUCCACGUGUAGCGGUGAAAUGCGUAGAGAUGUGGAGGAACACCAGUGGCGAAGGCGACUCUCUGGGCUGUAACUGACGCUGAGGCGCGAAAGCGUGGGGAGCAAACAGG